GACGAACGCUGGCGGCGUGCUUAACACAUGCAAGUCGAGCGAUGAAGUUUCCUUCGGGAAAUGGAUUAGCGGCGGACGGGUGAGUAACACGUGGGUAACCUGCCUCAUAGAGUGGACUAGCCUUCCGAAAGGAAGAUUAAUACCGCAUAAUGUUGAAAGAUGGCAUCAUCAUUCAACCAAAGGAGCAAUCCGCUAUGAGAUGGACCCGCGGCGCAUUAGCUAGUUGGUGGGGUAAGGGCCUACCAAGGCGACGAUGCGUAGCCGACCUGAGAGGGUGAUCGGCCACAUUGGGACUGAGACACGGCCCAGACUCCAACGGGAGGCAGCAGUGGGGAAUAUUGCACAAUGGGGGAAACCCUGAUGCAGCAACGCCGCGUGAGUGAUGAAGGUUUUCGGAUCGUAAAGCUCUGUCUUUGGGGAAGAUAAUGACGGUACCCAAGGAGGAAGCCACGGCUAACUACGUGCCAGCCGCCGCAGUAA
rnacentral:rRNA from 1 species